rnacentral:rRNA from 1 species
UACGAAGGGGGCUAGCGUUGCUCGGAAUUACUGGGCGUAAAGGGCGCGUAGGCGGAUCGUUAAGUCAGAGGUGAAAUCCCGGAGCUCAACUUCGGAAUUGCCUUUGAUACUGGCGAUCUUGAGUGUGAGAGAGAGGUAUGUGGAACUCCGAGUGUAGAGGUGAAAUUCGUAGAUAUUCGGAAGAACACCAGUGGCGAAGGCGACAUACUGGCUCAUUACUGACGCUGAGGCGCGAAAGCAUGGGGAGCAAACAGG